CCUUUAGGAUUGCGUUAUAGUCUCUAAGUCACUUUCACCCAACCUUCCUUCUUUCAUUUACCUGGGGUCAUGCCUGCAUCAGGGGCUGGUUGCCUCCCAGCCUCCCACCAACCCCAGCUCCCACCCUGCUUUUCCUCACCAGCACUGCCCCUAGUAAGUCUGUUCUAUAGCUGAUCCCUUCUUGGUCUUGGUGUCUGCUUCUUGGAGGACCCAGACUAACACAAGUGGACCAGGAGUGAGAUCUGAGAAAACAGGUUAAUAGGAGAUUAGGAGCUGGUUCAUCUCCCUCCCAAAGGAUGAAGAGGAUGACAUCCUGGCUGGCCUAUAACUAGGGUUAAAUCCUAGCAAAUCCUGGCUGCAGAUGUGCUGGGCCUGGUAAGGGAGAAGAAAGACCACACAUCAAAAAAGACCUACCUGGUGUACCUGACAGAUACAAAUUCGAAACCCCUCAGAAAGGACAUUGUCAUGAAGUUUUCACAAGGAGGAAAAAGCCCUGCUGAGGGAUGGCUCACAAUCAAAAGUCUGAGACCACACAAAGACACAAACCAUCACAAACAAGAGUCGGUAGAAACAACAAACAGGACAGAGCCUCAAGAACUUCUGCUUGUUCAUUCACUGAGCAAAUACUUGUUGAACACUGUCCUAAGUGCUGGGAGUAUGCAGGGAACAAAACAGGAAUUUACCUAGAACGCAGCACAGAACGAUAAUGAGAUGGAAAGUAAGAGGGAUGAAGAGACCUGGGGGAUAGAAUGAGAAGGUCCAAUGAACAUCCAACAGGAAUUCCAGGACUGAAUAAAGAGAACAGCAAAGAG